rnacentral:rRNA from 1 species
GAUGAACGCUGGCGGCGUGCCUAACACAUGCAAGUCGAGCGGAGAAUUGUUGCUUGCAACAAUUCUUAGCGGCGGACGGGUGAGUAACACGCGGGUAACCCGCCCUAAUCAAAGGGAUAACAAUGAGAAAUAAUUGCUAAUACCGCAUAAGCUUACACUAUCGCCUGAUAGAGUAAGAAAAGAUUUAUCGGUUUAGGAGGGGCCCGCGUCUGAUUAGCUAGUUGGAGAGGUAACGGCUCACCAAGGCGACGAUCAGUAGCCGACCUGAGAGGGUGAUCGGCCACAUUGAGACUGAGACACGGCCCAAACUCCUACGGGGGGCAGCAGUGGAGAUUAGUGCACAAUGGAGGAAACUCUGAUGCAGCAACGCCGCGUGAAAGAAGAAGGUUUUCGGAUCGUAAACUUCUAUCUACAGGGAAGAAAAAAAUGACGGUACCUGAGUAAGAAGCCCCGGCUAACUACGUG